UUUUUUGAGAGAGAUUUGCCGCUGGGGCCGAACAUCUAUGGCUGGGCCUCGCUCGCCUCUUCCCGAUUCUUCUUCGCCGCCCACUGCACGCUCAGGUCCCUCGCCGGCUGCACCUGCCGUCCGAUGCUGCUCUCCGCCGUCAGCCUUCAGUUCCUCUACUCCAGACUCUUUCAGUAUCCAGCCUCUCUCCCUCGUGUCCACCUCACCACGUCCCCGUCAGCAGCUGCACCCCUACAGUUCUCCUGCCUCCGGCAAAUACAGGAGUUUCGCUAAUCUUAAGAGUUAAGACCACCAUAGCCUGUUAGUAUCAAACUGUCUCCUAUGGAAGGUCCACUGCUAAGAAAUUUGGAGAAUGAUACAGUCGACUUCAAGGUUACUGUCCAGAUCAAAAGGAUAUGGGAACAUUGGAGUGCCCGAUUCCAGUACAUGGUUGACCACAAAGUAAGGAUAGUACCAGUUUUCCUAUCUCACUGUUUAUUUUAUCCAUCAGUAUACUUUAAAUCUCUUUUAUUUGGGUCGGGAGGUACAGCAGAGGGAUCAAUACUAAGGACAAAAUGGCCAAGUUUAAAAUAAAUUCCGUGAUAGGUGGUGUUUACAAUUCAGCGCUGCCAUAUAUUUAAAGCGAGAGACAAGUAAAGAGCAGUAGAUCACCCCUUCAGAAUUAGCUUGCAGAAUGUUGGCAGAGUCAGUUGUUUUGUUCCUGAGCUGCUUCCCUGCAAUGUUUGGUUCAUUCUUUGUCUAAAACUUUAGCUUAUAUUCGCAUAAAUCUGAACAGAAGUAUGACAUGAAAGUUGCUAAUGCUUCAGGAAACAAGCUUCUCUGCAAAACUACCUAUCUCUGUAGCUUAUUUCAGCAGUAAAAAUGCUUCUUCGCAACGUUGUUUUGUUCAGUAUGUAUUCAAUGCUGCUGUUCGUAUUUUUAGUGGACUGAAAAACUGCUCUUUGUAUUUUCUAAUGACUGAAAAUGGGCUGAAAAGCUGCUGUUUGUUUUUGCUACGCAGCGCUGGGAUGCCUGAAAAACUGCUAUUUGUUUUUGUCCCAUAACACUGGAUGUCUGGUUCGUAAGUGUGGAUGUUUUUUUUUUUUUUUUUUUUUGCUUUUACGUCGUUGCUGUCCGUUGGAUAGUUGUUGAGGGCUGCUGCAUAGCUGACAUGCUUGAUUAUUAUUUUCUGGGCGGAACAAUAGAAGGAUCGAUCCCAAAAAUAAGAAUAAAGAGUUACAAUAACAAGAUCACUGAGGAAACGUUAUAAUUGGUACUUCAAAAUUUAUAGGGCUAGAGAAAAAUACUCCCUCCGUCUCAAAUUAAGUGACUUAAAAAUGAUUUAGUUUUAUACUAACUUUACUACAAAGUUGAUUCAUUUUUUAGUCACUUAGGGCAUCUUCAACAGUUUGUUGGUUAGCUUGUUGGUAAAAUAUAUCAUGUCAUCAGCCAACACCUUAAUAUACAACUACUCCAAUAGGUUGUAUCUAGUUUGCCUAAUAAGAUGUGAGGUAAUAAAUAAGAUGCUCUCUCAUUCUACAUUGGAGCUUGUGCAAGGGUGUUGGUUAAUUUACAUACAACCUUGUUCUAUUUUCUCAUUUAUUGCGUGACACAUCAUUAAAUUCUAUGUGUUAAAAUUACUAAUAACUAUCUUACAACCAUUGAGGAUGCCCUUAUUUUGAGGAGACGGAGGAAGUACAAAAUAAUGGACCAGUCCUAGAGAACAGUGCUUGCUCAAAAAACUGUUGUCUAAUAGAGUUUGCUUUCUUUGGAGCACAACGUGAUCUAAUCACUAGGAAAACUACAAACUGCGUUGCUGCUCUUGCCAAACGACGGACUGACUACCUCCACAACUACAAAGACUUCCUGGCAAAGAAAUUAUAUACACAAUUACACCGAACAGCAGAUCUCUCUGGAUGCCAACUUCUAAUAUUUCCAGGUACAAUUAACAGAGCAUGUACCAUUGGCUCCACUUCAAAUGGUCAAUCAACCAUUAAUGACAAAUACUGCACAAUCUUAUACUUCAACGCCAACACCAGAGACGGAAUGGUUGAAAACAAUCCAGUUGCAACUCCGCUAUCUGGUGACCACAAUCGUUAUGAAAAUGAAGCAUUGAAACAACAACUGAUGAGACGUUGUACAGGUCAACAAUGUCACUAGGGUGUGCAAUUCAGAUUCUGAAUUCUAAUCAGCAUGGUUUCAGUUGUGUAUUAUGAAAAAUGUUAUAUGUAUAUUAUGUGAAACCGCUCGAUAAAUAAAAGUUACUGCUCCCAAA